rnacentral:rRNA from 1 species
AUGUUCUCCAUCGCGGCUGCCCUGCGGAUUUCUGUCGCGAUUGCCCUUAUUGACUUUGGGCAACUCUGCAUUGCUUUACACGAGCCUGAUCUCACGACUGAAGACGACCGAUCUAGAUGGCGGCUAGAGCCUUCUGGGCAAUUCUCCACUAAAUCUCUCUACCAGGCCAUCGCCCCCUCGCUUGGCCAUGAGGUGUUCACCUCCAUCUGGGAGAUUCGGCUCCCUCUGAAAAUUAGGAUAUUCUUGUGGCAAUGGAUUCGCGGUCCGCUCCCGUCCUGCGUGGAGGUCCUAAAGCGCAAUGGCCCUGGUGAUGGGCGUUGCCUGCUUUGCGGGCCUGAAGAAGAUUUGAACCAUAUCUUCUUCUCCUGCGUGUCCGCGUAGUUCCUAUGGAGCUGUUUCCGCGAGAUAGUGGGUGGAAGCUGGGACCACAGCAACUUCCCCGCUCUCUUCGCCAAACUCUAG